UGUCAUACCUGCAAUGCUCAAAUCAUGCAUAUAACUAACUUAACAUAUAAAUGAAUGUAAUAAUGAAUAAUAAUAGUAAAAAAUAUAUAAAUAUUAAUAAAUAGAAUUGUAUUGCAUACCGUUAUUGCAAGAAAAGAUUUAACAAAGAAUAUAGAUCUACUCAUCAAUAUCCGUAUCCUCUUCGAUUUGUAGGUCCUCCUUCGAAUCAUAAUAAUCGACUAAUUUAUCAUCUUCUAUCUCAUCAUUAUUUAUGAAUCGAUUAUCACC
rnacentral:lncRNA from 1 species